AGAAGAGGAGGAGGAGGACACAAAAAACAAGGUAACGAUGGUAAAGGAGGAGGGAGGAGAGGAGGAGGAUGAGGAGGUGGAAGGGGAGGAAGGGCCGAUGGGUAGACACAAACCUAUCUCGUCAUUUGCUCUGAAGGCGUGCACGGGAGAGGCCAUGGGUGUGCGUGCGUGGGUGUGCAUGUUUGUGGGCGCGUUUUCAUCCUCCAGUCUCUCCUUUUGCCUGGUAGAGUGUGGUUAUGAGGCAUACUGGGACCAUACUGAUAGCAACAGCAGCUAAGGUCCACCCACAGGCUACAGAGGGAGGAGAGAGUGUGUGGAGAAGCUUGCAAGAAGAACAUCACUCCAUUGUACCAGGUGAGGGUGAGGUCAGACCUACACCAGGGUCAAGGAGACGCCUCCACUGGGGGAAGAUGUAGUAGAGCAUCCCAGUGGUGGCACCCGGCAGCAUGGCACCCCGCACCAGUAGCGUCACCAGCACCACGUAGGGGAACAGCGCCGUGAAGUAUACCACCUGGGGAGGCACAGGUUAGGCACCAUCCUCCACACCUCCACACUGCCAGACGAGGAGAACUGCCCCAUCACCAGCUCCAGGAAAUAGAGCGGCUGUGUGAUGGAAAACAGGAGAAAAGUAAGACAAGGAAGGUUGUAGCAGCAUAGUACAUCAUUCACACACACACACACACACACACACACACACACACACACACACACACACACACACACACACACACACACACACACACACACAUCUACAAACCCUGCCAAUGAAAAGGAGGACCAGCAGGUAGGGGAUGAGGAAGGCGCCCCCACCAUUCUCAAAGGCAGUCGUGGGGAACCUCCAGACAUUGCCCAGGCCAACAGACGUGGUGAUGCAGGCAAGGAGGAACUCAGUAGGGGUUGACCACUGCUGUCGCUCCUCCUGUGUGUCCUGACAGCAAGUGAUGAGGAAGCAAAACGUGAACACAUCUUACUAACUUCUACAAACCAACAAGACUUCUACAAACCACCAAGACUUCUAAGUGGCUGCAAGAAAGAUCUUUCCACAAAUGCAUGGAGAUUAAUUAAUUUUGGAUACACACAGCUUUGGUGGCAGAAAGAUGCUGUGGUAAAUAAAGCAAUCAUCCCAUCCACUACACUGGGCCACACUUGCCUCACAUCACCAAGACCAACAAAAGUACAUCUGCUGGUCACUGUUGCUCCUCAAAACUCUCCAGGGCAUCUGUCUGUCAGGCCCAUGAACACCAAGACCAACAAGAGUACAUCUGCUGGUCACUGUUGCUCCUCAAAACCCUCCAGGGCAUCUGUCAGUCAGGCACAUGAAUUUUUGCUGUUUGGGGUGAGGAGUACAUGGCUGCAGACAUAACAGAGGAAGGGUGUGUGAUGGAGAUAAAAAAUGGAUGUGUGGUAGGCAGAGAGAGAUACAGAAGGCUAGAGAGAGAGGGAUUAUACAUAAUAGAAACCAACUGAAACAGGAAGGUUGUAUAGAUAGGACCAAGGAGAUGGAGGUCAUAAAAUCAUCAUGUAAAGGAAGUAAAAAGAAAAAGAAAAAAAUGUGAGAGAGAGAGAGAGAGAGAGAGAGAGAGAGAGAGAGAGAGAGAGAGAGAGAGAGAGAGAGAGAGAGAGAGAGAGAGAGAGAGAGAGAGAGAGAGAGAGGAAGGAAGGAAGGUUCUAAUGUGUGACCACUUGUGAAGAAUUAUUAGGAGGGAGUGGGAGGGAGGAACAGGUAUGCAGUGGUAACUGUGAGUGUUGAUAUAAUCACAAUCCAUCAAGCAGAUGUAGGAUACAGUAGUCAUUGAGUGUUAGGGGGGGGGAGAGAGAGAGAGAGAGAGAGAGAGAGAGAGAGAGAGAGAGAGAGAGAGAGAGAGAGAGAGAGAGAGAGAGAGAGAGAGAGAGAGAGAGAGAGAGAGAAAAGCUAUGAAGAUUUUAGUGGUGAUAAUGUGUUGAGGGAGAGACUGGGAAGUGACUGGUUCAUAAACAUACUGUGGAUGACAUACUGUGGGUCUGUGGAGAGAGAGAGAGAGAGAGAGAGAGAGAGAGAGAGAGAGAGAGAGAGAGAGAGAGAGAGAGAGAGAGAGAGAGAGA